UGGGAUAGAAAGGAGCUGUGGUUGGCC
rnacentral:piRNA from 1 species